AAAAAAUUGCAUGUUUUCUUUUUGUAACAUUCUUCUUCAGCUGCUGCCGAUUGCCAUCCAUCGGUCAUCGGCUGCCCCCUGCCAAAUAACCUGUAGACCGCCAUCUGCAGCAUUUGGUAGUGGCCGUUCUUCCGCCGUCCAGCUAGCUGGCCUUUAUUAUCCAUUGGUCACUUCCCCCUCCCACCUGCGGGUCGCUAUCCUGUAGCUUGUCACCCCAAUGUCGUUCGCCAGCCCUCAUACUGAUUGCUCUUCCUCCGCUGUCCACUGGGCCCCUCACCAAUUAUUACAAAUUUAAACAAUAUUCAG
rnacentral:lncRNA from 1 species